rnacentral:lncRNA from 1 species
AGGCAGAUUCGUUACCAUCUGAGCCACCCAGGAAGCCCUUAGGUACUGUUAACGUAGAAAGUGAAUAUACUUUGCAUCCAUUAGGUAUCGUGAUUGUCUCUAGCAAAGUAAGAAAAAUUGAUCAGUCUUUCAGGCACCUUUUCUUCCUCUGAAACAGAAGUAUCCAGAAGAUCCAAUGAGCCAGCCUUGGAAGUUUGAUUUANNNNNNNNNNNNNNNNNNNNNNNNNNNNNNNGCAUUCUGUAUAGGUGAUAAAAUUCCAUUAGAGACUUAAGGAAACAGGUCUUCCAUGUAUAUUUUAUUCAAGACACCUUCUUUAUCUCUUCCAUAUUAGGGGUUAACUCAUACAACAUAUUGUUAUAUUCAGAUGGAAUUAUUUCAUACAGAUCUUAAAAUAAGUACCAGAAAAUGAACCAUCAAGGUAACUUAAAUUUAAAAAUUAGUAGGAAAUGUGAAAGUUCACAUUUAAAAACUGAUGCUAGCAUGGAGGCAGUAAUUUAGACUGUGAAGGAACAGAUGAUCUUUAAUGAUUCAGAAGAUGAAACCAAAGACAAAAACAUUGGUAUUCUAAACACUGUGAAGAUGGAUUUUGAUGUAUUCUGCUGUACUGAUUAGCAGUGACAUAUUUGCAUUAUUAAAAAUUGCUGGUGAGAACGAUAAACAUUACUUGAAGACCAGUGCUUUAAGAAAUUAUGAGCUAUUUUCUCUGUAAAAUUAUUUUUAUUAACAAAACUUGAUAUUAAGAAAUAGUGAAAUUAUUUCUUAAAUAAAGCCUUGUCAGUGUGUUCAACAAAAAUUGACUGUUCUCAGUGCACCAGACACUACUUUGAGUGUUAGAGAGCCAGCAUUGAACAAAAUAGACAAAGGUCUGUUGCAUGGAACUUACAUUCUGUUGGAAGUUAUACACCCCAUGAUAUAAAAGCUCAAAACAUAAGAAUGGUGAGAAUUUUGUUUGAAGCCGAGGGCCUAGAGUUUUAUCCACUUUACUUCUCCUGUCUGCACUAUUCAGUUUCACUCUCCUUCUUAACUAUAAUUGGGAAAUUCUUGCUUUGAAGCACAGCUCAAUAAAUUAAAUGGAUAUAGUAUGUGGCUGCAUACAACACUCAGUAUAGAGAAGCAAAGUCUGUAUCUAUACAAACUGUGUCUAUAUUAAAUAAUUCUUAGAAUUUUAACACCUUGGAAACUCACCAGCUGAGGUAAACAUGUCUUCCACUUGACCCACAUAUGAAAUGUCCGGCAUUUUCCCUCCCAAAUACAGGCAGCCCUCAGGUGGUGUUGCUGUGCACUGGCAUU